UACAGAGGUGGCAAGCGUUGUUCGGAAUUACUGGGCGUAAAGGGCGCGUAGGCGGUCUUGUCAGUCCCUUGUGAAAUCCCCCGGCUCAACUGAGGAACUGCAAGGGAAACAGCAGGGCUUGAGUUCGGGAGAGGGAAGCGGAAUUCCGGGUGUAGCGGUGAAAUGCGUAGAUAUCGGGAGGAACGCCGGUGGCGAAAGCGACUGUCUGGGGUGCUUGUGACGCUGAGGCGCGAAAGCCAGGGGAUCAAACGGG
rnacentral:rRNA from 1 species